CAAGUGGCAUUAGUUGCCAGCUGGGGUUAAACUCUGAGAGUUCCUAAGCAAAACCACAGCCUAUUUGGAGGGCACAGGAACUACAGAAGCACUGAACCCUCUGAAGGAUUUCAGAUUUCACAAGGAACAGUAAGGUGAAACUGGGCAAACCUACAGAGGAGAAGAAAAGCAUGGCAUUUUCAUGACCUAGGUCAUGGAAGAGCAUCAGGAAGGUGCAGCAAUGAGAGCUCAUCUAAUUUAGCCAAGCACAGCGUGACUGAACAGCACAUUCCAGAACUGCACUAAAAACAUCCACCAAAGUAGCUGAAACCAGGAAAGCAAUUUUCUGUUCUUAACUUCUGUACCUAAGCAUCACCUUAGAAUAUAAAGUAUCAGUCAAUACAGGUCUUAAAAGCAGGCCCAGGGAGAUUAUUGUUGUGAUUUGUAUGAUCAGCUCAGGAACGUAGUGUUCCCCAAAAGCGACUUUAGGUAAUGUCAAGGGAAGCUGUGGUUUUCUUUGUGUCGUUCAAGAGACAAAAGAAUGUCCUGUGCCAGUGAAAAGCACAGUUUCUGUGCCACACAUUCACUGAAGUAUAACCUUGCCUUUAAUCUGUAUGUUCGAAAGCAUGCCUUCACUACCCUGCCAUAGCUUCACACUAUCUGCAGUAUAAGGACCUGGCAAAAAAGCUGGAGAAAACCAGGGGCCGAACUUAUGGCUGACUUCCCUGAGCACGUGAGCUGCUGGUUUGUACCUGUUCCCAGGAUUUCCAUCAUCCUGUCACUGAAACUUUGCUGUAUGUUUGAGAGCCAUCAUCAAUGUUUAAGAAGCAUUUGAGCUGUAUAUCCAAAUACCAGUGGCUGCUGUUGGACACCUACUAUGCACCAUUUGCACUGGAUAAAGAGUGUUUGUGUGGGGAGCUGAAGAGAUGUGCUUAACUCAGAAAUAGCUCUCUUCCUUGGAAAGCUUAAGGUCUGAAUCACACUGUGUUGGCUCAGUUUUUAGCAGACAAGCUCUCACAUAUGCCUCCCUGUAGGCGAAGAGUCGUCACUGGCAUCAGGAUUAGCAGCCAGGUUCUUUCCCUUUGAAAAGUAGAGAAUAAUGCUACUGAAAGCUAAGGCUGACUUUAAACGUGGUCAGGGCAGGAUGGGGAAAAAAUAACUUAUUUUGCUCAAGAUCCUUGAGGCAUUAACCACUCUGCUGCUGCCUGUGAAGGUGAGAAGACGACAGCCAGCCCAAACAUAUCCACGGCUGAUGUUGCCCCGAGGCAACUGCAAAAACUAGUGACAGGGACAAACAGGAACACCAGAGAAAAGCGUGGAAACCUAGGAGGGAACAAGGCUGCUGUUGAGCUGAGGUACUUGGAACUGCAAGCACACGAGAGAUGAUACCAGCUUAAGAGCCACUGGUGAACUUGGAGCCGCUGGCCGAGUCCACCUGGUAACAAGUGCAGGAACAGAACUCCAAAUACAGGCAGACACUUAUUUUUUCUGGAACAUGGCGGAAGUUGAUGCCUAGUCCUUAACUACACCACCACUGCUGAUUCCCAGCAGUCCAAAGGAAGUCUUGGGGGAAAAGCAGGUGAGGGAACUGGUGCAAAGUGUUUGUAGUUAGCACAAGAAACAAAUUAUACAUAGCGAUUUUAAAACACCUCAGAGACGCAGGAGUGUUGGGGAUCUACAGUUUUGGACCCAGUGGCUCACAACUGCAGUAACAUUAAUUUUCAAGCCUCACCUCCAGGUUCAGGACUCAAGCACUGCCACAGUUGCAAGAAAUGUGGAUUGAGAGUUCCUGAACUAACUGGUUGGUGACAGUGAGUCCAGGGAAUGACCUUGCAGCAGGCAGCUCAUGGUACCUCUCUCGGAGCUGUGCCAGUAUAAACGGCACUGGCAUUUCUGAAUGCUGCUGAAACCAUUUUGUGACAUUCUUAUGUUGGCUUUUUCUACUGCUCUGCACCAAAACUUUGGGGUGAGUGGAACAGAAGAGAGUCCUCCCUUCUUGUUCCAUUACACAGGCAUCUUCACAACGUAGCCUUGGGAUUAUCUAUAUAUGGAUAUAUAGAGAAUAUGGGCAACUCAUAGCUUUUGCCUACAUCUGUCCAUUAGCAUCAGCGAUACAGAUACUUAACCGACUGAAAUCUUGUCUUUCCCCUCCAGCCACACCCAUAUUAAACAGUAAGAAAACACUGUUUUAUUAAAAAUACGCAGCAGCAGUGAAUUUUCUGGCUACGUCUGGAAGUAAAUUGUAAGAGGAGUGAGGGUAGAACACUUGGCAUUUGGAUAUUUUAAUGAAUAUUCCCAAAUAAGACAAGCAAAACAUUUACUUGUAGACUCGAAGCUUCUCACAGCAUCAGUAAAGCUCCUGACACAGAGCCCGACGCAGUAUUUGUGUAACAUGGAAAUUAACAGCAGCAGCAGCAGCAGCGCUGCAGGCUCAGAGCCUACCCUGCGAGCAACAAAAUGGCCAGAGGUGCUGUUGUGUUCAUCCAGAUCCCUUCACCAUCUGCGGGUGGGGAGAUAGGAGGAUGCCAAUAUCCCUGCCACUUCAGGUAUGGUUGUGAACUUUACCAUCCACAUUAAAUGAAUGUUUCUAACCGUAUUCAAGCUUGUGCCUUCCUCAGCUCAACUCCAUAAAGCACAGACAGGAGCCAACAGCAAAAUCGGGCUGCGUCACAGAUGUAACAUGACCAUCGGCAAAACAAGUGCAGCAGGAGAUCAUGGCUGUCGCGUCAUUCAGAGAGCCUUCCCUCGAUAGCAGCGAAGAAGAAGAUGGUAAUGCUUUUAAAUUUAUGUCAUGAGCAUUUGCAAUCCGUAACUUCCUUUACCAAAUUUUGCAGUCCUUCAACAAUCAAAAUGCCCACGAAAAUUGCACGUAUUUUGCCAACAGCCCCAGCGCGUUAAACACUGCGUCAUUAUGCCGCACUAAGGCAGAGAGGUAGAAUAAACCCCACUUUGCAAAGGAAGGAAACCAAACUCUAGAAGAAAUGAAUCAGCUUACACAAUGUCACACACACACAAGUGUCAGAGGGAGGAAGAAAUCACAGCUUGCCCAAGUGCUUUUGCAUCAAUACGCAGAAAGCCAUUAUGGAACAGUUAGCCACGUACAACACCACCACCAUCCCCAUGCACAAAAUCGCUACUGUCCUACAGAAAUAUGCCAUGUCCGUCCCCUUCUUAGCCUUGUUUCUUGCCAGUCCCACAGAUUUACCUGCUGACAGUAACCUCAAUUCCUGAGUAAUGAGAUUUACAGCUGAAGUUUAACAUUGAAAUAACUCCUCUUUUAUCUCUGUCUCCUUACCCUCCCUGCAGUUAGACGCAAUUAAACUAGCACUGUGGCAGAAAGAUGGUAGUAAAAGAAAUCAAACCAAAUGCAUCCCAACACUGCACACAGAUACUCAAGAAGGACCACCGUUGUUGCUGCUAUUCCUGUUGUUCCCCUGCUCUGCGGAACUGGCGCUGCAGGAGGCAAGGAUGCUCCAAGGGAGCCAGCUAAAGCCAGUGAAGGCUCAGUGAGUCAGGAGGGGUUGUGACGACUGCAGUAAGAGUCUGAAAUUCCCUAUGGAAUCUGGCACAAAAAGGGAGAGGCAAGAAAGGUGGAGAUGGGAAUGAGGGGGGGAAAAAGUAGGGAGUGGCACCUACUGUCUGUUUUCUCCUUCCCUCCCUGCUCCUAGCUCCGCAUUGCUGUUGGGAAUGGCGUCCUCCCGUCUAUGGCACUGCGCAAAAGAGCGGAGCCGAGGAUAAAACCGCAGCGCCUACGGCCUUUAUGGCUUUUGUAACCAAAAUUUGGUCAGGGUGGGUGUAUGUGUGUAAAUACAGCCCUUCUCUCUCUCUCCCUCUCACUCACAGGACAGGCUACACUGAAGUAAUGGAGACGGCGGAUGCAGCAUGUUUGAGCUGGUUCUGAACCCAGCAGUUGUUGCUAAACAACCGGACCUGACACUUGAGAGGUCAGCGAGUGAGUAAUACAGAUUAAAUGCUUAUGCUACCCUAUCUUUAAACUUGUUUAAGCCUCAGUAUGAUGAAAGGCUAUGGAAAAACGUUCCCUGCCGCAUGAGAAAGCAAAGUUACCACUCCACUGCAUAAUCAGGAGGCUUCCUCGGCCAGAAGGACCAAGCUCAAAGCUGGUUGUGUCCUCAGCACUUCCAGGCAGAGUUGCCAUCUUCAUUGCUGGUCACUUUAAGAAGAGAGGUGAAAAAAUAGUAUAGUAAACGGUUAAGAGAGAAGAAUGUUCUCCCCUUCAUUUCCUUAUCCUCUCUCUGGAGCCAUUCUCUGCCCACAUCUCCCAUCCAUCCUUACCCAGUCCUUCCCGAUCCUUCAGUUCCUGCUUUCUAACCUUAUUAUUUCUUUGGCAAACCUUUACAGACCCAUCACUCAAGACUGUCUUCAGCCCUUCCUGAUGUUACCGAGCCUGUGGCAAACUCGCACUUGGGCAAACAAAAGCUGAGUUUGGGCAAGAGUCUUCUUCGCUUUGCUUUUUCCCACGACAUAAUUUCCAGGUGCAGUCCCUGCCCUGAGCAGUUUACAGUCCUGCUCACACUAAACCACCUUAAAAGGGAGAAGGAAGAAAGCAAGCACAGAGAAAAGCCCCAAACCCCAGGACUUUCCCCUUCCCCGUGGUUUGGAGCUCUGACACGUCAUCAUCGGAACUGCACAGCAAAAUGAAACCUCACCGGCACCCACGAAAGAGACACCCGUGGGAGCAAGGACCAGCACCCACUGCACCGAGGAGGUAACUGCUGCUGUCCUGCCUGCUGCCCCUGCCUGUGGGACACCCAGGAUCCCAGCAGGAGCGGGCAGGGAGCUGCCGGCACUUUGAAGCAAGUGAAAUCAACGUUGAGAUUUGACACCCAGUUCUCGACCAAUCAGAGAGAGCUUUUCACCUGCCAUCACCUCCUCCACCAAUCGGACGGCGCCUUUGGGCUGAGAGCCCUCCCCGGCCAAUGGGGAGCCAGCUCUGCCACUUAGUUAAUGAUGCAGCAGUACAGGGAAGACUAUCACAUGUGAGCUGGAAGGCUGCCAACAUGGAGACACGGAGAGAGCAAGGUAAACAACUUUCCAACGCCAAAAUGAUGACAUUUAAUCCCUAAACGCUAGCUUCCCGUCUCGACUCAUCUUUAACCCCUUUCAGCUGGUGUGGAAGCGUCUGGAAGGCACCGUCUACCUGUUCCCCAGUGCUUUUAAAAACUGGACGACAUGCCCUGCAAUGAUCACUGCGUCACCGUUUACCACUUUGCAAACUACGCAGUGACAAACCUCCGAGCUCUGAAACGCAGAGCGCCUGUUAACCCCUCCGCCAAAGCCCUGCCAACGUGCCAGCCUUUACAGAGCUGCCGGGGGGGGGAGGGUGGGGGGGUGGGGGGGGAGAGAUAAAAAACCCAAGCAAAACAUGAAAACAGCAGUCUUUGCAAAGUUGUCAUCUCUCCCCCACCACUACUACCCUCCUCUGCAGUACAGCAAUGCCGGCAAGAGUGACAUUAGUACAACCUGUGCCGUCGUUCCAUUGAGAAAACAGCUCUGACGCAGAACAGAGCAAUCAUACCCAGCCAAAAUAAUAAGAAAGGCACUCUGGGAGCUGAACUCGGGGGCGCCGGGGGAAAGGGACGCCCUGCAAAUAAUUUAAAUACGUAGAUGCAGCUCAAGCCCCAUCCUGAUCAAAGGGUACGUACGUGAGAAAGACGAACCGGACCGAAGAGCUCUGCCCGUGCACCAUCUGCGCAGUCCUCAGCCCUCCGCUCGCUGUGUAGCGCCGCAGAAUAGAAGGUUCCAGAAAUUUCCUUUCCGUUAACCCUUUUGGUGUCUGCCCACUCUCCCUCCCCAUGGGAUUAAGCGCGCCGGGUCUCCAGCAUCGUCAAUGGGCGAAGCCUCCUACGCCAAGCGAGCCCGAAUGCGAUCUUUAAAGGACACUGGAUGGUGGCAGGAGAACAGUCCCUGGUGUUAGCGUUACUUCUCUUUUUGGAGCCCUCUCUGCCUCUCUUGCUGCUUCUCUCCCCUCUUGCUGCAGCAGGGCUGUUGCUGGUAAGACCUAUCGACGGAGCUUGCUCUCUCACUCUCUCGCUGAGCUCUGUGACGCAGCUCUAAAUUCUCCAGCCUGCUCCCUGUGUUAUAAGAGCGGAACUGCAGCUUUCCAGGGAGCCCGUGCCAGCGGUGCCAGGGCCAGGCAAACCGAGGGGAGCGUCGCUCCUGGACUCUGCACCUUUUUUUGCAUCUGAAGAGCUGGAACUAUUUUGGGAUUUGUCUGUACUACACUGAAAAUGACACCUGUUAUACCCAGACACAAAUGAGAAGAAUUGCAAGCUCCUGCUUUUUCACAUAGGAUUCUACAAUCAAAAAGAUCCUGUGAGCUCAGGACCUGGGCAAGCAGCACAGGCUCCCUGUGUGGGAUGGAGGGGAUGACCCUUGUGAAUUGAACAGGUAGGCACCGGUUCAAAAGAUGGAAAAGAUCUGUUGUAGCUGAUGCAAGGGGAAAUCAGACGUCCAUGUGACCACAAGAAGUAGUGCUUGAUCAACUAAAUGCCACAGUACGAGGUUUCUUAUGCAAUCAAACCCACGGGACUUCAAGCCUUACACGUACGCUCUGUGGCCGAAGCUGCAUUAACUACUUCAGUUAACGAACGUAAAACUGUAAGAGCUCUACGGCUACUUAAAUGAGUCAUCCAGCAGCGAUACUCACUAAAGUAGGGCAGUGUUUUCUGUGAUGUUCAGCUGCCUGUGCUGGUUUCAGUUACCCCGGAGUUCUCUCAGAAGCUCCAACAUGCAGGAGCAGUGCGGAUUUCCCCCGUUCCCUGUUUUCCUCAUUGUCAUCCGGAUGAUUUACAACGUGCCAGUGCGGUGCAGGCCAGGCAGAGGCCAUCUCACUGGACCCACGAGACACCGUGAAGCUCUGAGUGUGAUUGUGUAGAGCACUGAAGCAAGAUCAAAGGCUCGGAGGCUCAGAAAUGGGACAGCUGACUGGUGCUUUUAACUCACAAUGAUUUUGUCAAUCUUAAGAAAGUAAAAUGGAGCUUUGAUUUAUUUCAUGUUAUGUCAUUUUCAUUGCUUUCAGGAGUAAGGCAGCAUUUAUUCUAUGGUGUACUUGCAUUUGCAGAUCACCAGCCAUGGAACAUUUCGACCUUUA